UAAUACCAGCUCUCCGAGUGGUGGGGAUGCUUAUUGGGCCUAAAGCAUUCGUAGCUUGCUGGACAAGUCUUUCGUUAAAUCCACCGACUCAAUCGUUGGACUGCGAGAGAUACUGUCCGGCUAGGGGGCGGGAGAGGUCGACGGUAUUUCUGGGGUAGGAGUGAAAUCUUAUAAUCCCAGGAGGACCACCAGUGGCGAAGGCUGUCGACUGGAACGCGCCCGACGGUGAGGGAUGAAAGCUGGGGGAGCGAACCGGAUUAGAUACCCGGGUAGUCCCAGCUGUAAACGAUGCAGGCUAGGUGUCAGCGUGGCUACAAGCCACGUUGGUGCCGCAGGGAAGCUGUUGAGCCUGCCGCCUGGGGAGUACGAUCGCAAGGUUG
rnacentral:rRNA from 1 species